AUGGGCACCAUCCUGAUGCUUCUGUUCUGCGGCUAUUCUUUGGGGGAACACAACCUUCAAAAGUUUGCCGGGCGCCCUCGCCCUGGCCAUCCGGCACCACCACGAGCUCUUCCUCGAGAGCAUCCGUGCACUUCGCCUGCAACUCCUGGGUGCAGACCACCGGGGAGCUGCCCGGCAACUCCAAGAGCAUCUUCUAUAGCUACAAGCGAUGCUAUUAUGUGGGAUCAAAAGACUGGACGAUCCAGAGGGUCCGGUUUUGUUUCUUUUAGGAAUCAACAGAAUGCACAAACUGCCAUAAAUGAAUUGAUGGUGCACUCCCUGUUGCUUAUUGCUAGCAAUGUCUAA
rnacentral:rRNA from 1 species